AAGGUAGUGGCUGCUGUACCUAUAGCCAGCAUUAAGCUUUCAGCACAGUUCAUUCCCGCCCACUUGUAGAGAGAGUGAAGGAAAGGAAAACAGACAGAUAACACACACACACACACACUACUAGCUCCAGGAAGGGGGGGAGGACAAACACAAAAAGCUCAGAGACGAGGCUGGUCACACACACAGCUUGGAAGGUGACAGCAGAGACCCAAGCAGCAUCCUCCUACUGGGCUUCACUUUAAGCCUGGGACCUUGUACCAAGCCGGGGAGCACAUCCAGCUGGAGCCCUCAGUGGAGCAGCUAUCAUGUAUGCCAACGGGAAAGUGGCUCUGGUGACUGGAGCAGCCCAGGGCAUUGGCAGGGCUAUGGUGGAAGAACUUCUGCAGAAAGGGGCUGCGUUGGCUUUAGUGGACCAAAAUCGCAUAGCUGGUGAACUGUGCAAAGCUUCAUUGGAUGAACAGUUUGGAAGUCACAGGACAUUGUUUAUCCAGUGCGACGUCACAGAUCAGGAGCAGCUAAAAGAUGCUUUUCGAAAGACAGUGGAGCAUUUUGGAAGGCUGGACAUACUUGUUAACAAUGCUGGUGUAAAUAACGAAAAGGACUGGGAGAAAACCAUUGAAGUUAACUUGACUUCAGUUAUUCGAGGAACCUAUCUUGGCUUAGAACUUAUGAGCAAAAAGAACGGGGGUCAUGGAGGCGUUAUAAUCAACAUUUCAUCUCUGGCAGAUAAGCUUGGUCCAAUUGGCUACGAAUACUGGCUACGAAUACUCAGCAAAAAGACUUCCAUUGUCACCGCACAUUGAAUGGCUGCAUUUUAUGAACACUGUGUUCCUUGAAUUUAAUAGCACAUAUAAAGCUGACCUUAGAUCUGUGGCAAAUUAUGAACAGAGGUCUUACACCCGCUGCCUAUCAACCAGUUUACUCGGCUUCAAAACACGGGGUUAUUGGAUUUACGCGAUCAAUAGCUGCACUUGCUUCCAUUGGAAAUUAUGGCGUACGGAUAAAUACUGUUUGUCCAGCCUUUGUCGACACACCUCUUCUAGAAUCUAUUGAAAAGGAAGAAAAUAUGGGGGAAUUUUUUAAGUACAAAGAUAGAAUAAAAGAUAUGAUGAAAUGCUACGGCGUUCUAGAUCCAACUCUUAUUGCCAAAGGAAUGAUAAAUCUUAUAGAAGACGAUGCAUCCAAUGGGGCUGUAAUGAAAAUCACAACUUCCCGGGGGAUUCACUUUGAAGAAUUUGGAGUCCAACAAAAGACAAAAAUAUAAAAGUGUUUAUGAACCAAAUUACACUGAUUUUGUAUUAAAAUUCUACUCUUGUCUAAUCUCCCAAAGCUUUUCUACAAUGAAGUUGGCGCUGAAGAAUUUAAACAUUUUUGUUAAAUUUUAUAAUUUUGUUGUCAUUUGCAACUUAAUUAUACUUUUUUAAUAGCAUGCAGCAAUUUUAUAUUUGUCUUGAUUGGUUUCCUUUUCAAAGCAAUAGUUCUUAGCAAAGGCCUCUGCAAGACCGUGAUCCACAUUGCCAUCAGCUUGCAAAGGCUUGCUGUUUAAGGCUCCUAUAAGGGGGUACCAUAGUGCUUUCCUUCCCCAGUGUCACUGGUUGCCUAUGAAGGGGACCGGCCAAAUGGUGUAAGAUAGCAUACUCUUAAUUAAUCAGCAAUUUAUUUUUAACUUUUACAAGUUUGCACUAAUUUAAUCCAAGUGUUUACCUUUCGAUUAGCUCCACCGUUCAUUGUUUCCUAUGUAACAUAACAUACAUAUUCAAUAGACAAUGAUGUAUAUAUGAACUUAGUUUUGGAAUGAGGCGCCAUUUUCCAGCACGAGUCGCACUCCAGUAAAAGAAUGGCUGUUAGAAUAUUACAGGGAAAUGUUCAAUUUUGUACAGUACAGUAUAGUGAAGCAAACCUUGUACAGUUAUUUAAAUGUUAUUCUUGUAAAAUACUUUGUUGUGUGACUUGCUUUUACUGUUUUAUUGAGUCCUUCUAACGAUUUUUUUUCUUAUUUAAAAAAAAAAAUGUCCAUAUAUUCUUAUUUGUACAAAUUUUAAUACUCACCAUUGACUCAAAAUCCUUCAAAAAUCUUUAAAUAAAUCAUUUCUUAAAUAAAUAUGAAAGUUGUUUACAUACUUA